CGGCCGUGCUGAGGAUGAAGACAUUCGCAAGAUAUGGAUUAAAAACGUACACCGAAAGGACUUUGCCCCCAAACAAGUAUUCAAUGGUGUGUGGAGUAUACUUCCCUGACGGCAGACCAACGCAGGAACACCCAUAUCCCAUAUUUAAUAUGGGAUAUGAAUAUAGUAAAGCACUAUCAUGUGGAAGACCACCCCCGAAGAGGAGAUGUCUCCAGCCCCCAACAGAGAGACUUGGAUUAAUGUUGAGAGGAUUAUUGUUCAAUACGGUGCAGAAACACUUGGUUCAGUUAUAUGUAUAUAUCAAUCAUCUUUCAAGAAAUCCUUCAUCCCCUCAGCUGUGACCAUACUGAACAAGAUAUGAACUGUCCAGCUGCAGCAUGAAUGUAUUGUGUGGUCGUCUUUUUUUUUUUUGGUCAAGCCUUGUCUAAUGUCUGUGAGA